CCUACGGGAGGCAGCAGUGAGGAAUAUUGGUCAAUGGACGAGAGUCUGAACCAGCCAAGUAGCGUGAAGGAUGACUGCCCUAUGGGUUGUAAACUUCUUUUAUAUGGGAAUAAAAUGUUCCACGUGUGGGAUUUUGUAUGUACCAUAUGAAUAAGGAUCGGCUAACUCCGUGCCAGCAGCCGCGGUAAUACGGAGGAUCCGAGCGUUAUCCGGAUUUAUUGGGUUUAAAGGGAGCGUAGGUGGUCUGUUAAGUCAGUUGUGAAAGUUUGCGGCUCAACCGUAAAAGUGCAGUUGAAACUGGGAGUCUUGAGUACAGUAGAGGUGGGCGGAAUUCGUGGUGUAGCGGUGAAAUGCUUAGAUAUCACGAAGAACUCCGAUUGCGAAGGCAGCUCACUGGACUGCAACUGACACUGAGGCUCGAAAGUGUGGGUAUCAAACAGGAUUAGAUACCCGGGUAGUC
rnacentral:rRNA from 1 species